UGAGUAACGCGUGAGAAUCUACCCUCAGGUCGGGGAUAACUCCUGGAAACGGGAGCUAAUACCGGAUGUGCCGAAAGGUGAAAGGUUUACUGCCUGGGGAGGAGCUCGCGUCUGAUUAGCUAGUUGGUGGGGUAAAAGCCUACCAAGGCGACGAUCAGUAGCUGGUCUGAGAGGAUGAGCAGCCACACUGGGACUGAGACACGGCCCAGACUCCUACGGGAGGCAGCAGUGGGGA
rnacentral:rRNA from 1 species